rnacentral:tRNA from 1 species
GGUGGGAUUCCCGAGUGGCCAAAGGGAUCAGACUGUAAAUCUGACGGCUCCGCCUUCGAAUCCUUCUCCCACCA